rnacentral:rRNA from 1 species
AUACGGAGGGUCCAAGCGUUAUCCGGAAUCAUUGGGUUUAAAGGGUGCGCAGGCGGUUUAUUAAGUCAGUGGUGAAAUCUCGGGGCUCAACCUCGAAACUGCCAUUGAUACUGAUAAACUUGAGUUCAGUUGGAGUAGGCGGAAUGUGUAGUGUAGCGGUGAAAUGCUUAGAUAUUACACAGAACACCGAUAGCGAAGGCAGCUUACUAAACUGAUACUGACGCUGAGGCACGAAAGCGUGGGGAGCGAACAGGAUUAGAAACCCUAGUAGUCC